UACGAAGGGGGCUAGCGUUGUUCGGAAUUACUGGGCGUAAAGCGCACGUAGGCGGAUUGUUAAGUCGGGGGUGAAAUCCUGGAGCUCAACUCCAGAACUGCCUUCGAAACUGGCGAUCUUGAGUUCGGAAGAGGUGAGUGGAACUCCUAGUGUAGAGGUGGAAUUCGUAGAUAUUAGGAAGAACACCAGUGGCGAAGGCGGCUCACUGGUCCGGUACUGACGCUGAGGUGCGAAAGCGUGGGGAGCAAACAGGG
rnacentral:rRNA from 1 species